rnacentral:rRNA from 1 species
GAAUGUUAUCACGGGAGACACACGGCGGGUGCUAACGUCCGUCGUGAAGAGGGAAACAACCCAGACCGCCAGCUAAGGUCCCAAAGUCAUGGUUAAGUGGGAAACGAUGUGGGAAGGCCCAGACAGCCAGGAUGUUGGCUUAGAAGCAGCCAUCAUUUAAAGAAAGCGUAAUAGCUCACUGGUCGAGUCGGCCUGCGCGGAAGAUGUAACGGGGCUAAACCAUGCACCGAAGCUGCGGCAGCGAACGUAUCACUUAAAGCGAUUCAGCGGGUUACGAUUGACGGAGCGAAGCGACGUCAAAGCGUAUACAAAGUCGAGUCGGUUUAAGGAUACGUUCGUUGGGUAGGGGAGCGUUCUGUAAGCCCGUGAAGGUGGCCUGUGAGGGUUGCUGGAGGUAUCAGAAGUGCGAAUGCUGACAUAAGUAACGAUAAAGCGGGUGAAAAGCCCGCUCGCCGGAAGACCAAGGGUUCCUGUCCAACGUUAAUCGGGGCAGGGUGAGUCGACCCCUAAGGCGAGGCCGAAAGGCGUAGUCGAUGGGAAACGGGUUAAUAUUCCCGUACUUGGUGUUACUGCGAAGGGGGGACGGAGAAGGCUAUGUUGGCCGGGCGACGGUUGUCCCGGUUUAAGCGUGUAGGUGUGUGUUCCAGGUAAAUCCGGUUCACUUUAACACUGAGGCGUGAUGACGAGGCACUACGGUGCUGAAGCAACAAAUGCCCUGCUUCCAGGAAAAGCCUCUAAGCAUCAGGUAACAUCAAAUCGUACCCCAAACCGACACAGGUGGUCAGGUAGAGAAUACCAAGGCGCUUGAGAGAACUCGGGUGAAGGAACUAGGCAAAAUGGUGCCGUAACUUCGGGAGAAGGCACGCUGACACGUAGGUGAAGUGAUUUACUCACGGAGCUGAAGUCAGUCGAAGAUACCAGCUGGCUGCAACUGUUUAUUAAAAACACAGCACUGUGCAAACACGAAAGUGGACGUAUACGGUGUGACGCCUGCCCGGUGCCGGAAGGUUAAUUGAUGGGGUCAGCGCAAGCGAAGCUCCUGAUCGAAGCCCCGGUAAACGGCGGCCGUAACUAUAACGGUCCUAAGGUAGCGAAAUUCCUUGUCGGGUAAGUUCCGACCUGCACGAAUGGCGUAAUGAUGGCCAGGCUGUCUCCACCCGAGACUCAGUGAAAUUGAACUCGCUGUGAAGAUGCAGUGUACCCGCGGCAAGACGGAAAGACCCCGUGAACCUUUACUAUAGCUUGACACUGAACAUUGAGCCUUGAUGUGUAGGAU